CUGGUAGUAGUAUAAAUUAUAAAAUAAAAAUUACGAUAGUCUAUUGUAAAAAUUAUUAUUGAGAACUUAUAGUCCAGCGUUACAAUACUAUAUAAUGAAAAUUACGAUAGUUAAAUCGUAAAAAAUCCGUGAAUUUUUUUUCCGUGUAGAGUCAAGAAAUUAAAACACACAAAAUUUUUUAUAAUGAAUCGUUAAUAUGUCAAUUUAAUAAAUAAAAUAGCAUUAUUUAAUUAUAAUCAAUGUGAAAUCCUUCAUUUACUUUACCUAUCAUUCUAUUAACGUAAGAUAAGAGUAAAUGAAGUAGAUAUAAAAAUAUUUUUUAAUUAUAAGAAAAAACAAACUAAGUAAUUAAAAAAGUAAAAUUUAUAAAAAGGCAUGUACUGAUUUUUGAAUUUUCUAAAAGUGGAUUUUUUCAUUUUCAUUACGUAAAAAAUUUAUUUUAGUAUUUCAAAGUUUUAAAAAUUGUCAGCUGUCUGCUAAGUUUAUGGCUUUAACGUAAGGAACGAUAGGUAGUGGAAAGACCAGUUUGUUGUUCGGGGAUGAUGAUGGUGACGCCGUAGGGAUCGUUCAAGAGUUCGUUGAAAACGCUGAUGGCGACGAUGUUGAAUUCAAAGCGGAAAAAUUGUCGGAGAACCAGUUCCAGGAUAUGGUCAAGACUACCAACGUCAACCAGACUAAAAGUGUUUUUACAUCAAGUCCAUAUGUAAUUUUACUUGUGGGAGAAAAAAAAAUUUUAAUAAAAUUUUUAAUGUCCGCUAGA